rnacentral:rRNA from 1 species
GAUGAACGCUGGCGGCGUGCCUAAUACAUGCAAGUCGAGCGAACAGACGAGGAGCUUGCUCCUCUGACGUUAGCGGCGGACGGGUGAGUAACACGUGGAUAACCUACCUAUAAGACUGGGAUAACUUCGGGAAACCGGAGCUAAUACCGGAUAAUAUAUUGAACCGCAUGGUUCAAUAGUGAAAGACGGUUUUGCUGUCACUUAUAGAUGGAUCCGCGCCGCAUUAGCUAGUUGGUAAGGUAACGGCUUACCAAGGCAACGAUGCGUAGCCGACCUGAGAGGGUGAUCGGCCACACGGGAACUGAGACACGGUCCAGACUCCUACGGGAGGCAGCAGUAGGGAAUCUUCCGCAAUGGGCGAAAGCUUGACGGAGCAACGCCGCGUGAGUGAUGAAGGUCUUCGGAUCGUAAAACUCUGUUAUUAGGGAAGAACAAAUGUGUAAGUAACUAUGCACGUCUUGACGGUACCUAAUCAGAAAGCCACGGCUAACUAUGUG